rnacentral:rRNA from 1 species
ACGCUGGCGGCAGGCUUAACACAUGCAAGUCGAACGGUAGCAGGAGAAAGCUUGCUUUCUUGCUGACGAGUGGCGGACGGGUGAGUAAUGCUUGGGAAUCUGGCUUAUGGAGGGGGAUAACGACGGGAAACUGUCGCUAAUACCGCGUAUUAUCGGAAGAUGAAAGUGCGGGACUGAGAGGCCGCAUGCCAUAGGAUGAGCCCAAGUGGGAUUAGGUAGUUGGUGGGGUAAGGGCCUACCAAGCCUGCGAUCUCUAGCUGGUCUGAGAGGAUGGCCAGCCACACUGGAACUGAGACACGGUCCAGACUCCUACGGGAGGCAGCAGUGGGGAAUAUUGCGCAAUGGGGGGAACCCUGACGCAGCCAUGCCGCGUGAAUGAAGAAGGCCUUAGGGUUGUAAGUUCUUUCGGUAUUGAGGAAGGUUGAUGUGUUAAUAGCACAUCAAAUUGACGUUAAAUACAGAAGAAGCACCGGCUAACUCCGUGCCAGCAGCCGCGGUAAUACGGAGGGUGCGAGCGUUAAUCGGAAUAACUGGGCGUAAAGGGCACGCAGGCGGUUAUUUAAGUGAGGUGUGAAAGCCCCGGGCUUAACCUGGGAAUUGCAUUUCAGACUGGGUAACUAGAGUACCUUAGGGAGGGGUAGAAUUCCACGUGUAGCGGUGAAAUGCGUAGAGAUGUGGAGGAAUACCGAAGGCGAAGGCAGCCCCUUGGGAAUGUACUGACGCUCAUGUGCGAAAGCGUGGGGAGCAAACAGGAUUAGAUACCCUGGUAGUCCACGCUGUAAACGCUGUCGAUUUGGGGGUUGGGGUUUAACUCUGGCGCCCGUAGCUAACGUGAUAAAUCGACCGCCUGGGGAGUACGGCCGCAAGGUUAAAACUCAAAUGAAUUGACGGGGGCCCGCACAA